GUGUCAGCAGCCGCGGUAAUACGGAGGGGGCAAGCGUUAUUCGGAAUCAUUGGGCGUAAAGGGCGCGUAGGCGGCUUGGCAAGUCGAAGGUGAAAUCCCCCGGCUCAACCGGGGAACUGCCUUCGAAACUGCCAGGCUAGAGUCCGGGAGAGGGUAGUGGAAUUCCCAGUGUAGCGGUGAAAUGCGUAGAUACUGGGAGGAACACCAGUGGCGAAGGCGGCUACCUGGACCGGAACUGACGCUGAGGCGCGAAAGCGUGGGGAGCAAACAGGAUUAGAAACCCUCGUAGUCC
rnacentral:rRNA from 1 species